AGUUUGUUAUUGGUAUGAGCUUUUGUGUGCAUAUCUGAAGAAAUGUGCAUGCACACGAAAGCUCAUACCAAUAACAAACU